AAUGAUGUGAGUUUUGUAUUUAAGUGAAUCGGACAUAUACUUUUGAAGUUACUUUUUCUUCAGUCAUUAACAUUGUCUUCUUAUUAUAUUGACAGUUUUGUUACCUGUGCAAAAGGUGAUACCGUUUUGUAAUGUCUAAUUUUCCCAAUUUCCAAGCGUCUGUGCGAUUUCUUUUAUCGUCAUUGGAAGAGCAGUUAGAAAAGGUGCCUGUUGGAGUUUUAAUUCGACAUUGGGAAUGGUUGACUGGGGUCGAGUUCCCUUUUAAGGAUGAAGGAAGACAGUACCUGGCAGUAUCGCUUAUCCCCGGAGUAAAGAGAUACGAUUAUUUCUUUGUAACUUUAAAAGAACGAAGGGAAGCUGAUUCCAUUGAUUUGAAGCAACUAAGAAAACAAAUCAAUGAACUAGAGAGUUUAGGAAAAAAUUGAUAGCCACAUCUUUAAUUACGGUGAGCCAGACCAACUUAUUUUCAACAUUUCAUUGUAAGUCAUAGAACUUUAUGUAUACAUGAUUGAUGCAUUAAAGCAAAUUAAUUUUGAGUGAUAA